CCCUUAGAUGUUCUGGGCCGCACGCGCGCUACACUGAUCGAGCCAGCGAGCCUGUCCCUCGCCGGAAGGUGCGGGUAAUCUUGUGAAACUCGAUCGUGCUGGGGAUAGACCAUUGUAAUUAUUGCUCUUUAACGAGGAAUUCCUAGUAAGCGCAAGUCAACAGCUUGCGCUGAUUACGUCCCUGCCCUUUGUACACACCGCCCGUCGCACCUACCGAUUGAAUGGUCCGGUGAAAUCUCGGGACGGCGGCUUGGUCGCUUGCGUCCGACUGCUGAAACUUGAUUAAACCAUAUCAUUUAGAGGAAGGUGAANUCGUANCA
rnacentral:rRNA from 1 species